GCUUAACCGGAGAAGUGCAUCGGAAACUGAUAAACUUGAGUGCAGAAAAGGAUAGUGGAACUUCAUGUGUAGCGGUGAAAUGCGUAGAUAUAUGAAGGAACACCAGUGGCGAAGGCGGCUAUCUGGUCUGUAACUGACGCUGAGGCUCGAAAGCAUGGGUAGCAAACAGGAUUAGAUACCCUGGUAGUCCAUGCCGUAAACGAUGAAUGCUAGGUGUUGGAAGGUUUCCGCCUUUCAGUGCCGCAGCUAACGCAUUAAGCAUUCCGCCUGGGGAGUACGACCGCAAGGUUGAAACUCAAAGGAAUUGACGGGGACCCGCACAAGCGGUGGAGCAUGUGGUUUAAUUCGAUGCUACGCGAAGAACCUUACCAGGACUUGACAUCUUCUGCCAAUCUAGAGAUUAGACGUUCCCUUCGGGGACAGAAUGACAGGUGGUGCAUGGUUGUCGUCAGCUCGUGUCGUGAGAUGUUGGGUUAAGUCCCGCAACGAGCGCAACCCUUGUCUUUAGUUGCCAGCAUUAAGUUGGGCACUCUAGAGGGACUGCCGGUGAUAAACCGGAGGAAGGUGGGGAUGACGUCAAAUCAUCAUGCCCCUUAUGUCCUGGGCUACACACGUGCUACAAUGGGCGAUACAACG
rnacentral:rRNA from 1 species